rnacentral:rRNA from 1 species
AAGGAAGGCAGCAGGCGUGCAACUUACCCUAAUCUCGAUUCGAGGAGGUAGUGACAAGAAAUACCGAUGCGGGACCCUACGGGUGCCGCGUUCGGAAUGAGUACGAUUCGAACCACCUAACGAGGAACGAUCGGAGGGCAAGUCUGGUGCCAGCAGCCGCGGUAAUUCCAGCUCCAAUAGCGUACGUUAAAGUUGCUGCAGUUAAAAAGCUCGUAGUUGAACGUUCGGGUUCCGCGGGACGGGGCCGCCCCGCGAGGGACGGCGCCGCCCCGGGGCUCGUGAUAUCUCAUCUCGCCGCCCGUCGCGAGGCGGACGGAGGGGAUGGAUGAGGUUACCUGGAAAAAAUCGGGGCGAUCUAGGCGGGCGAACCUCGCCAACGAACGAUCGGACAUGGGAUAACGGAAGAGGGGCGUCGGGCUCGACUUCGUCGGUUCCUCGGGCCGAGGCACGUACGGUG